rnacentral:rRNA from 1 species
GACGAACGCUGGCGGCGUGCUUAACACAUGCAAGUCGAACGGGCCUGUCUUCUUUUUUGGGGGGUGGGUUGAGUGGCGAACGGGUGAGUAUCACGUGAGUAACCUGCCCUUCGGUCCUGGAUAACCGCUUGAAAGGGCGGCUAAUACGGGGUGGUCCGGUUGGUCCGCAUGGGCUGGUCGGGAUAGAUUCACUGUUUUUGGUGUUUCGGCGGGGGAUGGGCUCGCGGCCUAUCAGCUUGUUGGUGGGGUGAUGGCCUACCAAGGCGGUGACGGGUAGCCGGCCUGAGAGGGUGGGCGGCCACACGGGGACUGAGAUACGGCCCAGACUCCUGCGGGAGGCAGCAGUGGGGGGUAUUGCACAAUGGGCGGAAGCCUGAUGCAGCGACGUCGCGUGAGGGAGGGAGGCCUUCGGGUUGUGAACCUCUGUUUCCGGUGGUGAAGGCCCUGUCCGUGUGGUGGGGUUGACGGUAGCCGGGGAUGAAGCGCCGGCUAACUACGUG